rnacentral:rRNA from 1 species
AUGCCGCUGCCCCCGCGGCCCUCCCUACCGCUGCCGUCCAUCGGCUCCUCACGCCCCGAGCGCAUCCGCGACCGUCCAUCGGCUCCUCGCGCCCCGAGCGCAUCCGCUACCGCCGUGCCUCCUGCAGCCCCCGCCGCGCCUAUGCCACUCGUCGCCGUCCAGGAGGUCCCCGUCGCCGCCCUUCAAGCGGUCCAGGCGGGACGACGGAUUUGCAAGAAUAUUAUGUUAUGUAAGAACAUGGCGGUGCAGUCACCCGAGGUGAAGAAGCUCCGUCACCUACCAACACCUCCUCCACCAGGCUGA